AGAACACCCUUUCAGUCAGCAUGACUGGAACUUUGAUCAACAAAUCCCCAAGAGCCACAACCCGUCUUUUGUGAACAAGUAGUAUCAAGGUGGGGGUGGGCUUGGAGUGCACUGGAUGCUUUUCUUCUUUCAUCAUGAAACCUGGUGGUUUUGUGUCAUGUGAUAUGUUUUUCAGAGAUUCGGCAGGAAGCUUGCACCGAGUGAAGGAUUUAUAAAGAUUAUAGGAGAUAACACAAAGCUAUUUUAUCUCUUUAAAAAAAAUCAAAGGUGUAAGCUCAUCCUACACAUGUCAUUUGGACCAGACCAAGGCUGCUGUCAUGGAGGACCCACACCACAGCUUGGGAACCAUUCAUCUACCAGAGGGUCACAUGACUUCAAAUGACUCUUCUAGGGGCCACCUGCCAUGAUAGGGUACCAGCUCUUCCUCUGAAUUCCCAAUCCAUUUCUUGAGAACUACUGUUUCUAAUAAGAGGGGAAGAAGGUCAUGUGGGAAUCAGUUAAAUCACGUGUGGAUAGAAGACAAGUUCCAGCUUUGUGGGAAAUCCUGUAGCCUUCGCCAGGUACACCCUGACAAUCUCAGAACUGAUCAGGUAGACAAGCUGCAAAGUUUCAUAAAGUCUCAACAACGGCCAACAUGGAAAUUGGAAAAGUUAGAACAAAUAGACCAAGCCUGGGGAAAUUUACUGAACUCUGGGGCUCCCUUCCAAGUAUGGUGAUCGGUAACCCAAAUUAAACUCACUAAGGUGUCCUGAAAAAAAUGGGGUCAAUAAAAGAUAAUGUCAAUCUGGAACACACCCUCUGAAUUGGGACUAAACCCCAAGCCAAUGAAUGGAGAAUGAGCAACAAGUUAUAGCUCCAGGGGCCUGGUAAGAGUGAAGAAGGGAAAAGUCUACAGAAAAAGUAAUAGUUCAGGGAAGACUUUAUCUUAGCAGGAGCAGAAGAAGGGAUGAAGUUAAAUCCAUCCACUGGGACAGGCCAGGUUUGCUGGUGAUUAGAGGAGAAGCCUGCUGUUUAGCCAUUCUGCUUUGUAUAGAGUCUACUUACACAGCUUCAGACUUAGGAUUGGGUUGCCAAGAAGGUGGGGACAUGCAGACACCAAAAUGUGCUGCGUCUCUCUCUGUCUCUCUGUAUCCUCCUACCCACAUGAUGUCCACUGCCCUUUUUGCAGAACUGCAUUCUGGUUUGGCAAUAUCCCAUGUCUUGGACUUUUGCCAAUUGUCUCUUCUUUGCCUCAUUUAAAGCUUUCUCUCUCCCUUUUUUUUUUUUUUUUAGAUGGAGUCUCUGUUGCCAGGCUGGAGUGCAGUGACAUGAUCUCACUGCAACCUCCGCCUCCCAGGUGCAAGUGAUUCUCCUGCCUCAGCCUCCUGAGUAGCUGGGAUUACUGGAGUGCACCACCACACCCAGCUAAUUUUCGUAUUUUUAGUAGAGAUGGGGUUUCACAAUGUUGGCCAGGAUGGUCUCGAUCUCUUGACCUCGUGAUCCGCCCACCUCGGCUUCCCAAAGGCAUUCUCU
rnacentral:lncRNA from 1 species